GAUGAACGCUGGCGGCGUGCUUAACACAUGCAAGUCGAACGAUGAAGCCCAGCUUGCUGGGUGGAUUAGUGGCGAACGGGUGAGUAACACGUGAGUAACCUGCCCUUAACUCUGGGAUAAGCCUGGGAAACUGGGUCUAAUACCGGAUAGGAGCGUCCACCGCAUGGUGGGUGUUGGAAAGAUUUAUCGGUUUUGGAUGGACUCGCGGCCUAUCAGCUUGUUGGUGAGGUAAUGGCUCACCAAGGCGACGACGGGUAGCCGGCCUGAGAGGGUGACCGGCCACACUGGGACUGAGACACGGCCCAGACUCCUACGGGGGGCAGCAGUGGGGAAUAUUGCACAAUGGGCGCAAGCCUGAUGCAGCGACGCCGCGUGAGGGAUGACGGCCUUCGGGUUGUAAACCUCUUUCAGUAGGGAAGAAGCGAAAGUGACGGUACCUGCAGAAGAAGCACCGGCUAACUACGUG
rnacentral:rRNA from 1 species